CUCAGAUUGAACGCUGGCGGCAGGCUUAACACAUGCAAGUCGAGCGGAAACGAUGAUAGCUUGCUAUCAGCGUCGAGCGGCGGACGGGUGAGUAAUACUUAGGAAUCUACCUAGUAGUGGGGGAUAGCACGGGGAAACUCGUAUUAAUACCGCAUACGACCUACGGGAGAAAGGGGGCAGUUUACUGCUCUCGCUAUUAGAUGAGCCUAAGUCGGAUUAGCUAGAUGGUGGGGUAAAGGCCUACCAUGGCGACGAUCGUAGCUGGUCUGAGAGGAUGAUCACCACACCGGGACUGAGACACGGCCCGGACUCCUACGGGAGGCAGCAGUGGGGAAUAUUGGACAAUGGGGGAAACCCUGAUCCAGCCAUGCCGCGUGUGUGAAGAAGGCCUUUUGGUUGUAAAGCACUUUAAGCAGUGAAGAAGACUCCGUGGUUAAUACCCACGGACGAUGACAUUAGCUGCAGAAUAAGCACCGGCUAACUCUGUGCCAGCAGCCGCGGUAAUACAGAGGGUGCAAGCGUUAAUCGGAAUUACUGGGCGUAAAGGGAGCGUAGGUGGCUCUAUAAGUCAGAUGUGAAAUCCCCGGGCUCAACCUGGGAACUGCAUCUGAAACUGUAGAGCUAGAGUAUGUGAGAGGAAGGUAGAAUUCCAGGUGUAGCGGUGAAAUGCGUAGAGAUCUGGAGGAAUACCGAUGGCGAAGGCAGCCUUCUGGCAUAAUACUGACACUGAGGCUCGAAAGCGUGGGUAGCAAACAGGAUUAGAUACCCUGGUAGUCCACGCCGUAAACGAUGUUUACUAGUCGUUGGGUCCCUUGAGGACUUAGUGACGCAGCUAACGCAAUAAGUAGACCGCCUGGGGAGUACGGCCGCAAGGUUAAAACUCAAAUGAAUUGACGGGGGCCCGCACAAGCGGUGGAGCAUGUGGUUUAAUUCGAUGCAACGCGAAGAACCUUACCUGGUCUUGACAUAUCUAGAAUCCUGCAGAGAUGCGGGAGUGCCUUCGGGAAUUAGAAUACAGGUGCUGCAUGGCUGUCGUCAGCUCGUGUCGUGAGAUGUUGGGUUAAGUCCCGCAACGAGCGCAACCCUUGUCCUUAGUUACCAGCGGGUUAAGCCGGGAACUCUAAGGAUACUGCCAGUGACAAACUGGAGGAAGGCGGGGACGACGUCAAGUCAUCAUGGCCCUUACGACCAGGGCUACACACGUGCUACAAUGGUAGGUACAGAGGGCAGCUACACAGCGAUGUGAUGCGAAUCUCAAAAAGCCUAUCGUAGUCCAGAUUGGAGUCUGCAACUCGACUCCAUGAAGUAGGAAUCGCUAGUAAUCGCGGAUCAGAAUGCCGCGGUGAAUACGUUCCCGGGCCUUGUACACACCGCCCGUCACACCAUGGGAGUUGAUUGCACCAGAAGUGGAUAGCUUAACCUUCGGGGAGGCGUUCACCACGGUGUGGUUGAUGACUGGGGUGAAGUCGUAACAAGGUAGCCGUAGGGGAACCUGCGGCUGGAUCACC
rnacentral:rRNA from 1 species